rnacentral:lncRNA from 1 species
CCCUGCAUACAUUUUCUACCCUCGUUUCAGCUCCUUUCUUAAUCCAACCAAUCUUAUAAGGAGACGGGUGCUUUUCUGUCUUCAAUCCCAUCGCACGAACCAACGCAGAGGAAACAAUGUUUUCGCUGCUGCCGCUGUCAAUAAUCACGUUGCACAUAGUUUUGUUGAUAGUGCAGCAAGUUUUGAAGAUGCUGUGGCGUUGCGAUUCUUCUUCAUUCUUCGGGGCAAAUAAAAUUCGCUGAACUACAAAGGAGGCCGGAACUCCCUGAUCCGGCGCCGUCACCUCGACGUCUUCAUCGUCGGUCUGCCCCUCUUCAUGAUCCUCCUCCUCA